rnacentral:rRNA from 1 species
UACGAAGGGGGCUAGCGUUGUUCGGAAUUACUGGGCGUAAAGCGCACGUAGGCGGAUCCUUAAGUCAGGGGUGAAAUCCCGAGGCUCAACCUCGGAACUGCCUUUGAUACUGGGGAUAUCGAGUCCGGGAGAGGUGAGUGGAACUGCGAGUGUAGAGGUGAAAUUCGUAGAUAUUCGCAAGAACACCAGUGGCGAAGGCGGCUCACUGGCCCGGUACUGACGCUGAGGUGCGAAAGCGUGGGGAGCGAUCCGG